GCAUAUCAAUAAGCGGAGGAAAAGAAACCAACAGGGAUUGCCCUAGUAACGGCGAGUGAAGCGGCAACAGCUCAAAUUUGAAAUCUGGCUUCGGCCCGAGUUGUAAUUUGCAGAGGAAGCUUUAGGCGCGGCACCUUCUGAGUCCCCUGGAACGGGGCGCCAUAGAGGGUGAGAGCCCCGUAUAGUUGGAUGCCUAGCCUGUGUAAAGCUCCUUCGACGAGUCGAGUAGUUUGGGAAUGCUGCUCAAAAUGGGAGGUAAAUUUCUUCUAAAGCUAAAUACCGGCCAGAGACCGAUAGCGCACAAGUAGAGUGAUCGAAAGAUGAAAAGCACUUUGAAAAGAGGGUUAAACAGCACGUGAAAUUGUUGAAAGGGAAGCGCUUGUGACCAGACUUGCGCCGGGCUGAUCAUCCGGUGUUCUCACCGGUGCACUCGGCCCGGCACAGGCCAGCAUCGGUUCUCGCGGGGGGAUAAAGGUUCCGGGAACGUAGCUCCUCCGGGAGUGUUAUAGCCCGGGGCGUAAUGCCCUCGCGGGGACCGAGGUUCGCGCAUCUGCAAGGAUGCUGGCGUAAUGGUCAUCAGCGACCCGUCUUGAAACACGGACCAAGGAGUCAAGGUUUUGCGCGAGUGUUUGGGUGUCAAACCCGCACGCGUAAUGAAAGUGAACGUAGGUGAGAGCUUCGGCGCAUCAUCGACCGAUCCUGAUGUUUUCGGAUGGAUUUGAGUAGGAGCGUUAAGCCUUGGACCCGAAAGAUGGUGAACUAUGCUUGGAUAGGGUGAAGCCAGAGGAAACUCUGGUGGAGGCUCGCAGCGGUUCUGACGUGCAAAUCGAUCGUCAAAUCUGAGCAUGGGGGCGAAAGACUAAUCGAACCAUCUAGUAGCUGGUUACCGCCGAAGUU
rnacentral:rRNA from 1 species